UCUUAUCAUGAGAUACUUCCGGUUCAUCUCACUUAGUUAGGAACCUUCCUAAGGAAAAAAAGACUAUUGGAGCGCAGCAUAUUGCCGUUUUUUCUGCUGUCGUUGGCUUGCGUGUGUCGUCAUCGGUCAUGACCUUUGUGGGAGGAGUGCCGAGACGCGGCGAAACGAGGUCAGAGAACAGAUUUAGACGAAUGUUUGAACCGUUGCCUCGGUUUGUCAGUACCAUGAGAAAGCUUACUUAGCGAAGAAGCCUGGAUGCUAAAACAAGCUCUGAAGCUGCUUUUUCGUCGAACACGAGUGAGGCUAGACGCUGAACACACCUGCAGCGCGAAGGUGUCACCACUUCGUCCAUAACAUCGUCCACGAUCGCAGAGACAUGGUCCAUGAUCGCAGAGACGUGCAAAAGUCAGAAGUGACAGAGUUCCCUGAUUUGACGGCAUCGUCCGCGUUCACAGACAUUGUUGAUGAUCAGAGUGUCUUUGUACAAUGAAGUUCUUUGAGACCAGGACAGAGGCCUCCAGCACUUCGUGCGAGACGCUGAGACGCUGUCCACGAUCGCAGAGAGGAACGAAGAAGUUCCAGGACAGAGGCCUCCAGGAGGAGAAGACGACAGCAGCUGAAGACCUGAAGUGGAUGAAAGAAACAAAAGUUAAAAGUGUUACGAAGCUGUUAGAUAAAACAGUGUUGGUUUCCUGUUCAAGUGAAACUGUUUUUCUCUACCAUCUAUAAAGUAGUUUUAGUGUGUGGAAAAUGUGCCCAUGACUACACACAUUUUCCACACACUAAAAUGUCUUUAUUAAACACCUGUGAGAACAUUUAGCUGCUUAUGAUACAACUAUUUAAUUAGUAAUUGUACCACAAGCAGUUAAAUAAUCAUAAAGAUGCUUAGUAGACACAUUCAUCUUUGGAAAUUGUGGUCAAAUGUCUGUCAUUAUCUUUGCUGUGAUUUGUUAAAUGUUGUCUGGAAUAAAAUCAUUUUG